GCACCUAUGGCCUAAUGGAUAAGGUGUUUGACUUUUAAUCAAGCGAUUGUAGGUUUGAGUCCCACUAGGUGUG
rnacentral:tRNA from 1 species